CCGAGAAGUUUGAUUUAAAUUUAUCAUUAACAUUACUGACUAGUUUUGUUUGGUCUUAAAACAAUUACAGUUGCAAUGAUACAAAAAUAUCACAUAUGUGGAUGGUUCAUUUUGAUUGCAGCGUUUUGCCCUAAAUUAAACUCGUAAGUAUGGAUAGUUUUCUGAAUGCUCCGUAAGUGGAUAUUUCAGCUAAGUUUACUGUCCUAAUUACAGCAGCAAUUCAUCGUAUGUAUUUAUUUAAGAUAAUGAAAUUCCCAUUUCGUUAUACAUGUAUUUGAUUAUAUUUCAGAAAUUUGGUUUUUUAUAAGGAAUCAACCUCUGAAUGUCCCCCUGGAUAUCAAGGACGUCGCUGUUUACGGUUUUGUCCGUACCCACAAUAUGGACUUAAAUGUACCGGCAAAUGUGAAUGCAGUGUACAUCUCUGUCAUCAUAUCAAUGGCUGCCCACCUCCAGCAGCUGCAAAAUGUCCCAUUGGAUUAACUGGAAAAUACUGUGAAUCACAGUGUCAAUUUCCAGAUUACGGAUAUGGUUGCCAACAGUCUUGCAUAUGUUCCAAACAAAGAUGCAAUUUUGCUACUGGAUGUACUUCUGUUAAAAAAUUCAUCAGUAAAACGACUACUCAAAAAAGUCUAAGCAUAAACGUUCCACUAAACAGGACUUUAGUUUCUCUUAAUACUGUUUCAACUAUGGAUGUUCUUAAACAAGGUACUAGUACUCAGAGACUGGUGAAGAAAAAUCAGAUAUCAACACCAAUUACUAGGACUUUUUCCAAUGAAGGUGCUUUAAUUGCGCAAUUGAGUUUUAAAAAAUAAUCUACAAGAAGGAGGGUUCAAGUCAUCAUAUGACUAUACACGACAAUAUAUCUUUUAUGACUAGAGAUAUAAACAGACAAAGAAAAUAAAUC